AUUGAACGCUGGCGGCAGGCCUAACACAUGCAAGUCGAGCGAGCGGCGGACGGGUGCGUAAUGUAUAGGGAAUGUCCGUUAGAGGGGGAUAACUACUGGAAACGGUAUCUAAAACCGCGUACUAUCCGAUUACGCAUAUGGGAUUAGCUAGUACGUGAGGUAAUGGCUCACCUAGGCGACGAUCCCUAGCUGGUCUGAGAGGAUGAUCAGCCACACUGGGACUGAGACACGGUCCAGACUCCUACGGAGGCAGCAGUGGGGAAUAUUGCACAAUGGGCGCAAGCCUGAUGCAGCCAUGCCGCGUGUAUGAAGAAGGCCUUCGGGUUGUAAAGUACUUUCAGUCGGGAGGCGUUACCGACAGAAGAAGCACCGGCUAACUCCGUGCCAGCAGCCGCGGUAAUUC
rnacentral:rRNA from 1 species